rnacentral:rRNA from 1 species
AUUGAACGCUGGCGGCAGGCCUAACACAUGCAAGUCGAGCGGAGCGGUGGACGGGUGCGUAAUGCCUAGGAAUCUGCCUGGUAGUGGGGGAUAACGUCCGGAAACGGGCGCUAAUAUCGCAUACUAUCAGAUGAGCCUAGGCCGGAGUAGCUAGUGGGUGGGGUAAAGGACUACCCAGGCGACGAUCCGUAACUGGUCUGAGAGGAGGAUCAGUCACACUGGAACUGAGACACGGGCCAGACUCCUACGGGAGGCAGCAGUGGGGAAUAUUGGACAAUGGGCGAAAGUCUGAUACAGCCAGGCCGCGUGUGUGAAGAAGGUCUUCGGAUUGUAAAGCACUUUAAGUUGGGAGGCGUUACCAACAGAAUAAGCACCGGCUAACUCCGUGCCAGCAGCCGCGGUAAUAC